GGGGGAAUAUUGCACAAUGGGCGCAAGCCUGAUGCAGCCAUGCCGCGUGUAUGAAGAAGGCCUGCGGGUUGUAAAGUACUUUCAGUCGGGAGGAAGGUGGUAAGGUUAAUAACCUUAUCAAUUGACGUUACCCGCAGAAGAAGCACCGGCUAACUCCGUGCCAGCAGCCGCGGUAAUACGGAGGGUGCAAGCGUUAAUCGGAAUUACUGGGCGUAAAGCGCACGCAGGCGGUUUGUUAAGUCAGAUGUGAAAUCCCCGGGCGCAACCUGGGAACUACAUCUGAUACUGGCAAGCUUGAGUCUCGUAGAGGGGGGUAGAAUUCCAGGUGUAGCGGUGAAAUGCGUAGAGAGCUGGAGGAAUACCGGUGGCGAAGGCGGCCCCCUGGACGAAGACUGACGCUCAGGUGCGAAAGCGUGGGGAGCAAACAGG
rnacentral:rRNA from 1 species